rnacentral:rRNA from 1 species
AGAGUUUGAUCCUGGCUCAGAAUGAACGCUGGCGGCGUGCCUGAUACAUGCAAGUCGAGCGCGAAAGUGGCCUUCGGGCCGCGAGUAGAGCGGCGGACGGGUGAGUAACACGUGGGUAACCUGCCUUGGAGAGGGGAAUAACUUGGGGAAACCCGAGCUAAUGCCGCAUGAGCUCGCCGGACCUUCGGUGCCGGCGAGGAAAGGUGGCCUAUUCUUGAAAGCUGCCGCUCCAAGAGGGGCCCGCGUCCGAUUAGCUAGUUGGUGGGGUAACGGCUCACCAAGGCUACGAUCGGUAGCCGGCCUGAGAGGGUGAUCGGCCACACUGGAACUGAGACACGGUCCAGACCGCUACGGUGGGCAGCAGUACGGGAUAUUGCGCAAUGGGCGAAAGCCUGACGCAGCAACGCCGCGUGAAGGAUGAAGGCCUUCGGGUUGUAAACUUCUGUCAGGCGGGACGAACGAGCGGCGGUGAAUAGCCGCCGUUUCUUGACGGUACCGCCGGAGGAAGCCCCGGCUAACUCCGUGCCAGCAGCCGCGGUAAUACGGAGGGGGCAAGCGUUAUUCGGAAUUAUUGGGCGUAAAGGGCGUGUAGGCGGCUUGAUAAGCCAAAGGUGAAAUCCCUCAGCUCAACUGAGGAACUGCCUUUGGAA